rnacentral:lncRNA from 1 species
CCUAACCUGUUUGAAAAGUAGUGUGAAACAGAUUUUGCCGAGCGGAGCGAGGCAAAAAUUUUUUUGAAGGGUUUUGGAACCGCUGAAGGCCCAAGAAGCUAUAGACCUGCUAAGUUAUUUAUUUUCAAUACAUUGCAAGUCAGGUUAUUUAUUUUCAAACUACCACAGAACAAACCAUUUAUUUUUGUGAUUAUCAAGGCUGAGUUAUUUAUUUUCAAAAUCCUCCUG